CUACGGGAGGCAGCAGUAGGGAAUCUUCCGCAAUGGGCGAAAGCCUGACGGAGCAACGCCGCGUGAGUGAUGAAGGUCUUCGGAUCGUAAAACUCUGUUAUUAGGGAAGAACAUAUGUGUAAGUAACUGUGCACAUCUUGACGGUACCUAAUCAAAAAGCCACGGCUAACUACGUGCCAGCAGCCGCGGUAAUACGUAGGUGGCAAGCGUUAUCCGGAAUUAUUGGGCGUAAAGCGCGCGUAGGUGGUUUUUUAAGUCUGAUGUGAAAUCCCACGGCUCAACCGGGGAGGGUCAUUGGAAACUGGAAAACUUGAGUGCGGAAGAGGAAGGUGGAAUUCCAUGUGUAGCGGUGAAAUGCGCAGAGAUAUGGAGGAACACCAGUGGCGAAGGCGACUUUCUGGUCUGUAACUGACGCUGAUGUGCGAAAGCGUGGGGAUCAAACAGGAUUAGAUACCCUGGUAGUCC
rnacentral:rRNA from 1 species